rnacentral:lncRNA from 13 species
CUAUGAGGCUGUACCAACAGCCAUAACCAGAGGGCCUGUAAAAAAACCCAGGCCCACCCUGGCUACCUACGAAUGCCCUGGCUAGAAAGCUGUGCCCACAUCCCCAACAGAGGACCUGUAGCAGCCCGCCAGCCCACUCUGGCAACGUAGAAACACCCUGGCUUAAGGGCAUUGUCCGAUACACUGCCAGAGAGCAUGUAGCAGACCCCAGGCAAACCCCACAGCUAAGAAACACAAUAACUAAGUGACUGGACCCAGAGCCAACACCAGAGGGCCCGAAGUAAAUCCCAGGUGCAUCAUGGCUGCUUAGGAACACCCUGGCUAUGUGACUGUCCUUACAGGCUCCAUCAGCGUGCCCGCAGCCGCCCAGUGGCCCAGAAUGUCUGCUGAGGGACACCCUGGAUAGAGCACUGUACCCACAGUCCUCAACAACGAGCCCAUAGCAGGCUCAAAGCCCACCCUGGUUGCUUUGGGACCCCCUAAUUUGGUGGCUCUACCCACCGCUGCUGGGGCCAAGCUAUUUUGAAAAUGUGGUUUAGUAUGAUACUGUGGACCAUAUCAUACAGAAAUGAUAAUGAUAUUCUCUUUUGCUAUAUAUUAGGCAGUAGCUAUAGUUACCCCUCUGCUAUAUUGACAAAAAUGCCAUCAUCACAUCCCUUGACAUUAGAAUUUAAAGCAUAGUGGAGUUUCACCCCUUGCAAUGUUUAAUUCAAUAUAAUUGUUUUCUUGUUUACAUUAGUGACCCUAUCAGAGCAUGCUGUACACCUCUUGCCAUAUUCAGAGUACUUCCCUAUAAGCCGCAACAUUUUCCUCUCCUCCUCUGGAUGUUAGGAACAAUAUCCCAGGACCGGCCUACAACCCCAGUCACAUCUGACCCUAUCAGAGCAUGCUGUACACCUCUUGCCAUAUUCAGAGUACUUCCCCAUAAGCCACAUCAUUUUCCUCUCCUCCUCUGGAUGUUAGGAACAAUAUCCCAGGACCGGCCUACAACCCCAGUCACAUCGUGAGUAAUGUCCUCUAUAAUCUUCUAGUUAUUAGGAACAAUAUCACGGGGGGCUUGUGCACUCUCUCAGAUAUUUGGAGUAAUAUCUUUUAAGUUUUUGAAUAUUAGAAACGAUACUACAGUGGUGGUGUAUACUGCAUUCGAUAUUCAGAGUAUGGUAAUACAUUGUCUUUAGGACAUGAUUCACUACAUCACAGAAGCGUUUUACUUUGCCUGUGAUAUUGACACCGUCGCAGACGGUACACUUGCUCUCACAAGGAGAGUAAUACCUACUUAGGAUAUGAUGGCUGAUAUCACGAAAUGGACACACGUAUGUGUAUACCCACUUUGAUAUUGGAAGUAAUAUUUACCUAUUAUACUAAAACUCAUAUCUCAGAAUAUACUCAUGAUGUGUACACUUAUUGGUAUAUUACAAGCAACUAAGUGAAUAUGUACCACAUGUAAACUGACUGAUGGCAUAUGUGUACACAACACAGAUGUUGAAUAAAUUUACAUAAUCUAUAAAAUAUGGAUAAUUA